rnacentral:tRNA from 5 species
GUCGAGGUGGUGAAACUGGGAAACACGAUAGGUUUAGAACCUAUUGCCGCAAGGCUUGCGGGUUCGACUCCCGCCCUCGACA